UACGGAGGGUGCGAGCGUUAAUCGGAAUUACUGGGCGUAAAGCGCGCGUAGGCGGUUGACUAAGUUUGAUGUGAAAUCUCAUGGCUUAACCAUGAAACUGCAUUGGAUACUGGUCGACUUGAGUAUCGGAGAGGUAAGCGGAAUUCCGGGUGUAGCGGUGGAAUGCGUAGAUAUCCGGAGGAACACCGAUGGCGAAGGCAGCUUGCUGGACGAUUACUGACGCUCAUGAACGAAAGUCGGGGUAGCAAACAGG
rnacentral:rRNA from 1 species